ACACUCCUACGGGAGGCAGCAGUGGGGAAUAUUGCACAAUGGGCGCAAGCCUGAUGCAGCCAUGCCGCGUGUGUGAAGAAGGCCUUCGGGUUGUAAAGCACUUUCAGCGGGGAGGAAGGCAAUGCGGUUAAUAACCGUGUUGAUUGACGUUACCCGCAGAAGAAGCACCGGCUAACUCCGUGCCAGCAGCCGCGGUAAUACGGAGGGUGCAAGCGUUAAUCGGAAUUACUGGGCGUAAAGCGCACGCAGGCGGUCUGUCAAGUCGGAUGUGAAAUCCCCGGGCUCAACCUGGGAACUGCAUUCGAAACUGGCAGGCUUGAGUCUUGUAGAGGGGGGUAGAAUUCCAGGUGUAGCGGUGAAAUGCGUAGAGAUCUGGAGGAAUACCGGUGGCGAAGGCGGCCCCCUGGACAAAGACUGACGCUCAGGUGCGAAAGCGUGGGGAGCAAACAGGAUUAGAUACCCCAGUAGUCCCAUGA
rnacentral:rRNA from 1 species